UAUGGAUCCGUGAUGUUAUUAUUAGACUGCGUUAUCUAUCUGAAACUUCCUUCAGGAAUUGAAGAUAACCAUUACUUGCUGAGAUCCAUG
rfam:Vigna radiata var. radiata cultivar VC1973A scaffold_251, whole genome shotgun sequence